GUAACGGCGAGUGAAGCGGGAAGAGCUCAUGUUUGAAAUCCAGCUCUGAACGGUGCUGGAGUUGUAACCUAGAGGUGCGUGUUGCCUGCCGGGGGGGCCGCGGCUAAGUCCGAUUUGAAAAGGGCACCAAGGAGGGUGGCAGUCCCGUUCGUGCCGCAGUCCCGCCGGCGAUGUGGCCCGCUUCCAACGAGUCGAGUUGCUUGGGAUUGCAGCUCAAAGUGGGUGGUAAACUCCAUCCAAAGCUAAACACGUGUGGGAGACCGAUAGCGAACAAGUACCGUGAGGGAAAGAUGCAAAGAACUUUGAAAAGAGAGUCAAAGAGUGCCUGAAAUUGCUGAGAGGGAAGCGAAGGAAAGUAGUGUCGGUCGUGGGGAUCUCGCACACGGGGAGCGGCCCGAUCUUCGGGUCGGGCCCUCUCCGUUAUCCCCCGCACUGUCAGGGGCGGGUGCGCGGAUUGGCCGAGGCGGCGGCCAGAGGUAAAGGUGUUCCGAGGUAACAGCCGGACGAAUGCGGCAAUCAGGAUCCGCGUCUCGGGCGCGGCCGUCCCUGACGAAAUGUUUUUCUUUACCCCGUCUUGGGGACGGACCAUCGGUACGUCAAUGAUCGCGAAAACAGCAGUGCU
rnacentral:rRNA from 1 species